rnacentral:rRNA from 1 species
UACGUAGGGGGCUAGCGUUGUCCGGAUUUAUUGGGCGUAAAGAGCGCGUAGGCGGUCCGGUAAGUCCGCUGUGAAAGUCGGGGGCUCAACCCUCGAAUGCCGGUGGAUACUGUCGGGCUAGAGUGCGGAAGAGGCGAGUGGAAUUCCUGGUGUAGCGGUGAAGUGCGCAGAUAUCAGGAGGAACACCUAUUGCGAAGGCAGCUCGCUGGGACGUAACUGACGCUGAGACGCGAAAGCGUGGGGAGCAAACAGG